GUCCGGAAUCACUGGGCGUAAAGGGCGCGUAGGUGGCGUCGCAAGUCAACGGUGAAAGCUCGACGCUUAACGUCGAGUCGGCCGUCGAGACUGCGAGGCUCGAGCACUGUAGAGGCUCAUGGAAUUCCGGGUGUAGCGGUGGAAUGCGUAGAGAUCCGGAAGAACACCGGUGGCGAAGGCGGUGAGCUGGGCAGUUGCUGACACUGAGGCGCGACAGCGUGGGGAGCAAACAGG
rnacentral:rRNA from 1 species